UUAUUUAAAAACACCUCACCUAGGCAAAAAAUAAUGGGGGUUUAGUUACAUUAUAUGAUCAUAUAAUGUAACUAAACCCCCAUUAUUUUUUGCCUAGGUGAGGUGUUUUU